GGCUCCAGUCCAGCAUUCAGGAUCCUUGCCCAGCUGGAACCUUGCACACACCUACAGUAUGACACCUGCCUAAAGACUCUUAAAUUCCUGCUGAACAAUGACAGAAACAAUGUUUUGGUAUUCACUGCAGACGGAAAAGUUGAGCACAAUAUGCAGCAAGUAACUCUGCCUUAUCAGUCAGGAGAUAUCGACAUAUUUGAUGUUUCCUCCUUUCACAUAAUGCUUCAGACUAGUUUUGGGUUGCAAAUUCAGAUCCAGCACACCCCUGUCAUGCAAGUCUACAUUAGCUUAGAACAGAAUUACAAAACAAA